rnacentral:rRNA from 1 species
GUGAAACCGGUGAGGUGGAAACGGAUAGAGCCAGCCUAUCUUGCCUGUAUUCAGCCGUCCUGCUCGUGGCUGUCAGAGUUGCCGCUUCUCCAGAUUGGGACGGUGCUUUGACGGGAUGCUCGCGAGCGGACGGUGCACUUGCAGGCGAUGUGCGCCGAGUCGUUUGGGACAGCUGCAUAAGCCUGACUUAGAGGCCAGCCCGCAAGGGUCUGGAACCCGAGUUGGGGGAGUGUUGUUUGCUCUGAAUGGAGUUUGAGUGUGGGCAUGGCCUACGGGCUCGGGCUGGUGUCGAGCUGGCAGCGGGAAACGGUCGCAUGCGACACGUGCCAACGGUCAGUUCGGUCCUGUUCGAGCCCCCAGAUGCCUGUUCUCGGUGUAAAAGCUGGUCAUCUCUCCGACCCGUCUUGAAACACGGACCAAGGAGUUUAUUGUGUGCGCGAGUCAUUGGGCGUUGGAAACCCAAAGGCGAAAUGAAAGUGAAGGUGCCCGCAAGGGGCUGACGUGCGAUCUGGUGUGCUACGGUGCGCCAGCGCAGCAUGGCCCCAUUCCUAAUGCACGCAUUGGGGUGGAGGUAGAGCGUACGCGACGAGACCCGAAAGAUGGUGAACUAUUCCUGAGCAGGAUGAAGCCAGAGGAAACUCUGGUGGAAGUCCGAAGCGAUUCUGACGUGCAAAUCGAUCG